UACGUAGGGUGCGAGCGUUGCCCGGAUUUAUUGGGCGUAAAGGGCGCGUAGGCGGCUCUGCACGUCCGUUGUGAAAUCGCCCGGCUCAACUGGGCGGGGUCAGCGGGAUACGGCAGAGCUCGAGCAAGCUAGGGGGGCAAUGGAAUUCCCGGUGGUAGUGGUGGAAUGCGUAGAUAUCGGGGAGGAACACCAGUGGCGAAGG
rnacentral:rRNA from 1 species